GUUUAUAUAGUUUAUUUAAAACAUUACAUUUUCAUUGUAAAAUUAGAAAUUUUCUUAUAAAUA
rnacentral:tRNA from 1 species